UUUGAAAUUGCAGCCAUGCUCCUUUUUCGCUUGUCACUCCUGCAUGAAAGGGGAUGACUGCCCUUUUGAUCAUCAACUCUUCAAGUAUCCUUGUGUUAGCUUUGUGUUCGGAGGGAGGUUUUUGUGUUAGAGUUACCAGCCAAAAGAAGAUUUUGCUACACCUUCAAGGGUUCACAACCUAGGAAUGAAAUCUCCACACUUUUCAGGAAACACAAAUUCCAACAUGCCACCUAACAUUCAUGGCUGUAGUUCUAUCCAACAAAACCAUUUGAUCAUUCCUCCAAGAGUUCAUCUUGACAUCAAUUCGGAACAUAAAGCAACAAACACGGUACAGAAACAGCUUAAGCUUGCAUCUAAAGGAGUUAGCUCCGUCGAUGUUGCAAAGCUAUUGUUGCCUUCUCCUACUACGCCAAAGGAAGGCACGACCAAAGUUGGUUCAUCCUCUUCUGACCAAAGUACAUAGUACAUCUGGAACAAAUCAAACCUUGGUGGAAAUUCCAAAGGGAAUUAACUUUCUUGCUUUUGGGAAAGAUCCUGUGUGCAGUUUUAAGAGUUCUAUUAACUCCCUUGUAAAUGGGGAAAAUAGUAUUGAUCUGCUCCAGAAUAUAAGUUUCAGUUUGCUUGAUCAUACUAGUUCAACCUUAAAAGAUGCAACAAAAGGAAGGGUACCACAGACUGAUUUAGUCUCCAGUGAGAUUUCUGGUAAAAAUCAAUCCGCGGCAGAAAGUAUAAAAUUGAGUUUUUACAGGGAAAGCUUCAAUGAAUGAUAUGCUUCAACUGGUUUACAAGGUAGCUCUCAUGUGGAUAACAACGUAAGUAAACCAGUCCAAGAGGCAAGAGGGGCAUCUGAUUCUUGUCAAAUUCCCGCAGCAAUAUGGUUGCCAUUUAUGCGUCUGGUUUCUCCUUCAUCUUCAGAACAGCUACCAUCUAGAAAGGAGCUCUUGUCGACUGUAUUGUCAUUUGCAGCAGAGCAUGAAUCAGUUCAACUGCAUGAUGAAAGAUUCUGCUGGCACUUCAACUGCAUAAUUGGGUGAGAACUGAGAAGGAAUACAGUAAUAGCAGUUCAAGGUUGUUAGCUUCUUUCAUUAAGUGUAUUUAGGAUAUUAUUGAAUCAGUUAAUGAUAUGAUAAUUAAUUGUAUAUAUAAUGUAAUUUAUAUGCAUAUAUUUCAUCAUGCUUGUAUAAACUAAUCUUCAUC